rfam:Botryotinia fuckeliana BcDW1 unplaced genomic scaffold Scaffold_200, whole genome shotgun sequence.
GGUCGCUUAGCUCAGUUGGUUAGAGCGUGGUGCUAAUAGAUUCUGAACAACAUCAGUAUUUAAAAACGCCAAGGUCGCGAGUUCGACCCUCGUAGUGAUCA